GACGAACGCUGGCGGCGUGCCUAACACAUGCAAGUCGAGCGAGGGACUUCGGUCUCUAGCGGCGGACGGGUGAGUAACACGUGGGUAACCUGCCUCAUAGUGGGGGAUAGCCUUCCGAAAGGAAGAUUAAUACCGCAUAUACUCUCGGUAUCGCAUGAUACUUAGAGGAAAGGAGCAAUCCGCUAUGAGAUGGACCCGCGGCGCAUUAGCUAGUUGGUGAGGUAACGGCUCACCAAGGCCACGAUGCGUAGCCGACCUGAGAGGGUGAUCGGCCACAUUGGAACUGAGACACGGUCCAGACUCCUACGGGAGGCAGCAGUGGGGAAUAUUGCACAAUGGGCGAAAGCCUGAUGCAGCAACGCCGCGUGAGUGAUGAAGGCCUUCGGGUUGUAAAGCUCUGUCUUUUGGGACGAUAAUGACGGUACCAAAGGAGGAAGCCACGGCUAACUACGUGCCAGCCGCCGCGGUAA
rnacentral:rRNA from 1 species